ensembl:lncRNA
UCUGCUUCCAACUCUCAAACAUGUAGAUCCCCAGAACGCAGCUCACUUUCCAGAUCACCUGAAUUCUGAUCACCUGUUCACACACCUACCCAGCUACCUGCCUCCUCCUGUGGUCCUUUACAAAAACACCUGCUGCGCCCUGCGCUUGAAACCAGCUGUCUCCCAUCGUGUUCAUUACAGCAUCACUGGAUAACGAAAUGGAGGAAGCUGUGUUGCAGCCCGUGUCUCGUUUGAGGGUGGCCCCUCCACCAAGGGAGAAAGUGCGUGAGGCUCCCAAAUCAGCAGGUGCUAAAUGUUUGGCCACACGUGUGCCGGUUCCCAAUCCGUGAGGCCCCGGUUCCCAAGCAUCGCAGACUCGCAGAUGCCAUGAGUGAGGGAAUGUUUUGCCACAGGGGUUGAGGGUCUGUCCACGUCUACAGUUUGUGUUGACCACCUCAGUCCUGCAAACCCAGAAAGUGUUGAAUGCAUUGGUUGGGCAGAUUGUGACUGAAGUUGGAAGAAUAUACAGGGUUUUACUUCAUUUACAUAAUGCAAUUGAUGAAUGUUUUCCACUAUGUUAAUAAAAAAAC